UACUCAGAAAUUCCUCUAAAUAAUAAAAAAAAAAAAAACGGUAGGUGCCAACUCGAACCUUUUCAAAUUUCAAUUUGUGAACAGACAUUGAAAAAAUGACACGAUGUAGAACAAAAAAUCCAAAUUACACGCCAGCAUAUGUACUUAUUCCACUUGUUCAUUAAGAAAUGAAUGAUGUCAACUUUCAGCUGAAAAUUUGAAGGGAGAAAACGUUCAAAAUCAUUCAAUCAACGAUAGACCUGGUAUUACUCGUAUAUUGAUGGAUAGUGGUUUACCUCCUUCACCAAUCAUGAGCAUAGAAAUUUUCCGAAUUAUUUAUUUUACGAUUUUCAUCAUCCAUGCAAAAGGUAAGAAUCGAAUCGGUCCAAAUGAAUGUGAGUUGGAGGAUUUAAUUCAAUUCGAAGGUGAUGCCAAUAGCACAGCCGACGUUAAAUACGAGCAAAGAUACCUCAACGAGUCUGGAAUGGGAGUCAUAAACUUUAUCAAAAUAGACUGGAGCCCUGUACUAUUUUCCAGAACCGAUGAACAAUUGAAACAGAUAUGUUUAUGCGUAGCAACAGCUAAAAAAGCAGACUCGUCGUAUGCUGGAGACUUAUCUUCGAUUAAGGCCGAAAACCGUUACUACUAUUGCAGACUACCUUGCUACGCAUCUUGGCAAUCAUUAUUCUAUUUAUGUUUGGCUACAAUCAAAUGCUCAACUCCGAAAAAAGUAUUUUUCAUUGUCGAAACUCGAAAAGUAUUCUGGAAAUCUCAUUUUCGUAAUCUUUUUAUUUUGGAAUUGCUGGAAGAAGAGCUGAAGACUUUGGAAGGUAUGAAGGAUAAAUAUGGGAUCUAUUAUCCGUCAGGAAGUUUUAAAGGUAUUUUGCCAGAAGUUGAUUUUAGACCUUUUUAUAAUACCUAGGUACAAAUGAAAAAUAAUUGAUUAUUCGAUAAGCAGAAUUUUUCGAUAAUUCAUCAUUACUGAAUUGGGCAGAAUUAAAAUGGGAGGCAAAAACAUGAUUUAAUUCGAAAAUCCAAAAAUUUCAAGAUAUUUACAUGUUUUGGGGCACUGGAAGAAGAUCAAAAGAAAGGUUUUUAAAAAUUUGAAAAUGAAUGACAUAAAGAUGUUGUCAAAAAUACGUAUUUUUCUGACGGUUAUACAGAAUUUCUACCACGUCAAGGGGGCUGCUUCGCUUCAAUACAUCGAUUUCCAUCUUUUAAAAAUCGAAAACACCAACUGUGAACUUCCUCUUUUAGUUCAAUUCAAUUCAAUUCAAUUCAUACCCACAUUUUUGUACAAUUUAAAAAAAAUAAAUCCAAUUUGUGUUCAGAAUUUGUCGAUUUAAUUCACAAGGCUCGCACCCAAU